GAUGAACGCUGGCGGCGUGCCUAAUACAUGCAAGUCGAGCGAACGGACGAGGAGCUUGCUCCUUUGACGUUAGCGGCGGACGGGUGAGUAACACGUGGAUAACCUACCUAUAAGACUGGGAUAACUUCGGGAAACCGGAGCUAAUACCGGAUAAUAUAUUGAACCGCAUGGUUCAAUAGUGAAAGACGGUUUUGCUGUCACUUAUAGAUGGAUCCGCGCCGCAUUAGCUAGUUGGUAAGGUAACGGCUUACCAAGGCAACUAUGCGUAGCCGACCUGAGAGGGUGAUAGGCCACACUGGAACUGAGACACGGUCCAGACUCCUACGGGAGGCAGCAGUAGGGAAUCUUCCGCAAUGGGCGAAAGCCUGACGGAGCAACGCCGCGUGAGUGAUGAAGGUCUUCGGAUCGUAAAACUCUGUUAUUAGGGAAGAACAAAUGUGUAAGUAACUAUGCACGUCUUGACGGUACCUAAUCAGAAAGCCACGGCUAACUACGUG
rnacentral:rRNA from 1 species